rnacentral:rRNA from 1 species
AAAUGCGAUAAGUAAUGUGAAUUGCAGAAUUCAGUGAAUCAUCGAAUCUUUGAACGCACAUUGCGCCCGCCAGCAUUCUGGCGGGCAUGCCUGUUCGAGCGUCAUUAAAUCCCUCAGGCCCCCCGGGCCUGGCGUUGGGAGACUGCAUUCCCGCAGCUCCCCAAAGUCAGUGGCGGAGCUGGUUCGCACCGUAAGCGUAGUAGAAAUCCUCUCGCUUGCGCGGUCGUGCCGGCCCCUGCCGUAAAACACCCCAUCUCAAGUGGUUGACCUCGGAUCAGGUAGGAAUACCCGCUGAACUUAAGCAUAUCAAUAAGCGGAGGAAAAGAAACCAACAGGGAUUGCCCCAGUAACGGCGAGUGAAGCGGCAACAGCUCAAAUUUGAAAGCUGGCCUUCGGGUCCGCAUUGUAAUUUGCAGAGGAUGCUUCUGGCGCGGUGCCUUCCGAGUUCCCUGGAACGGGACGCCUUAGAGGGUGAGAGCCCCGUACGGUCGGACACCAAGCCUAUGUGAAGCUCCUUCGACGAGUCGAGUAGUUUGGGAAUGCUGCUCUAAAUGGGAGGUAAAUUUCUUCUAAAGCUAAAUACCGGCCAGAGACCGAUAGCGCACAAGUAGAGUGAUCGAAAGAUGAAAAGCACUUUGAAAAGAGGGUUAAAUAGCACGUGAAAUUGUUGAAAGGGAAGCGUUUGCGAUCAGACCUUUGCCGGGCGGAUCAUCCGGUGUACUCACCGGUGCACUUCGCCCGGCGGCUGCCAGCAUCGGUUUCCGCGGGGGGAUAAAAGCGGGGGGAACGUAGCUCCCUCGGGAGUGUUAUAGCCCCCCGCAUAAUGCCCUCGCGGGGAC